rnacentral:rRNA from 1 species
UACGGAGGGUGCAAGCAUUAAUCGGAUUUAUUGGGCGUAAAGGGCGCGUAGGCGGGUUUGUAAGUCAGAUGUGAAAUUCCGAGGCUCAACUUCGGAGCUGCAUUUGAAACUACAAGUCUAAGAGGGCUGGCGGAGAAAAUGGAAUUCCACGUGUAGCGGUGAAAUGCGUAGAUAUGUGGAAGAACACCAGUGGCGAAGGCGGUUUUCUAGCUAGUACCUGACGCUGAAGCGCGAAAGCAAGGGGAUCAAACAGG